rnacentral:rRNA from 1 species
CCUACGGGAGGCAGCAGUGGGGAAUAUUGGACAAUGGGGGCAACCCUGAUCCAGCCAUGCCGCGUGUGUGAAGAAGGCCCUCGGGUUGUAAAGCACUUUCAGUGAGGAAGAACGCCUAGUGGUUAAUACCCAUCAGGAAAGACAUCACUCACAGAAGAAGCACCGGCUAACUCCGUGCCAGCAGCCGCGGUAAUACGCAGGGUGCGAGCGUUAAUCGGAAUUACUGGGCGUAAAGCGCGCGUAGGUGGCUUGAUAAGCCGGUUGUGAAAGCCCCGGGCUCAACCUGGGAACGGCAUCCGGAACUGUCAAGCUAGAGUGCAGGAGAGGAAGGUAGAAUUCCCGGUGUAGCGGUGAAAUGCGUAGAGAUCGGGAGGAAUACCAGUGGCGAAGGCGGCCUUCUGGACUGACACUGACACUGAGGUGCGAAAGCGUGGGUAGCAAACAGGAUUAGAUACCCCAGUAGUC